rnacentral:rRNA from 1 species
UACGAAGGGGGCUAGCGUUGUUCGGAUUUACUGGGCGUAAAGCGCACGUAGGCGGAUCGUUAAGUCGGGGGUGAAAUCCUGGAGCUCAACUCCAGAACUGCCUUCGAUACUGGCGAUCUUGAGUCCGGAAGAGGUGAGUGGAACUCCUAGUGUAGAGGUGGAAUUCGUAGAUAUUAGGAAGAACACCAGUGGCGAAGGCGGCUG